UGCCAGCAGCCGCGGUAAGACGGAGGGGACAAGUGUUAUUCGGAAUGACUGGGCGUAAAGGGUAUGUAGGUGGUUCUUUAAGUUAAAAGUUAAAUGCCAAAGCUUAACUGUGGUAAAAUUUUUAAUACUGAAGAACUAGAGUCAAAUAGAGGGUAGCGUAACUUCUUAUGUAAAGAUAAAAUUUGUUGAUAUAGGAAGGAGCACCAAGGGCGAAGGCAGCUACCUGGGUUUAGACUGACACUAAGAUACUAAAGCAUGGGGAGCAAAUGGGAUUAGAUA
rnacentral:rRNA from 1 species